rnacentral:hammerhead_ribozyme from 1 species
AUAUGGCUGAAGAGUCCCAAAAUAGGGCGAAACAGCUGUCCUGUAC